rnacentral:lncRNA from 1 species
GCUAGUUAGCGGUGCGUGCUAGUAGCUUUUCAAUCGGUGGCGUCAUUCGCUCUGAGACCUUGAAGUAGUUCUGCAAGGACCACAGCUUCUGUGGAGCGAUAGAGAGAAGAGGAGCUACGCAGAGAAAACAACUUCAACAUGGAUCCUGUAAUUCAGCACCAUGGACAGCGGAAGAGCUGUGUUACAUGUUCAGGGUUGUCAGAGAAGACAUUGCAUUACCUCCAUGUUGUUGUGAUUAGGAUGUGAUGAGCUUGUAAUUCAUUAUUAUAUUAGACCCUCACAGAACAGUGUGUAUCUUACAGAGAGUAUUACUCUAACCACUGGGGUUUAGUGUUGGUCUCAUGUGCGGUUUCUUAGCAUCCAUAUGCAACUGGCGCCAUCUGUUGGAUGAUUGACUCACAUGUAAAGGUCCCCGUCUCUUGACAAGUAAAUACGCUGGAAAUCAAUACGAUCCUUUAAAUGUAACAAACACAAAAAUGUUUAAUUUGUCCAAAUGACUAAUUAACUUCUUCAUCCAAAUGUAAAGAUCUUGUAGAAUAUUACCUUAUCCCUCUGCUCAAAAUCGUAUUCAUGGGUCUUUACUGUCAACAAAACACUGGUUGAAUCAACAUUGUUUCCAUGUCAUUUCAAUGAAAUUACUUUGAACCAACGUGGAAUAUACGUUGAAUUGACGUCUGUGCCCAGAGGGAAAGGUGUUUUCCUCACCCGUUGGUUCUUAGGCAAUCAAGGCCACCCUAACCAUAACUGUAACUACCUCUUUAAGAGCUAACCAUUUGUCUUUGCACAUUCCAUAUGUGCGUCACAUGACAGAGAAGCUCAUUAAAGCAUCUCGAUUCCUCCCUGGUCUGUUUCAUCAGCUGAGACUGCCAAGCUCUUUAGCUCAGUGUUCUUGAUGUUUGUGCUGUUUAUGUAAAACCCAUCUGUUAGCUCCUCUCGCUCUUGGCAGAGGGGCCACCUCUUCCUUCUGCUUCUCUUUUGAAGUCAUGUCAAAAUCAGAUUUUCAUGCAUUUAAAGCAUCUGAGCGUCACUUUAAAAAAAAAAAUCAACAUUCAGGCAAAAGUUAAAAAGGGCACUGCUUGAAUAAGGUACAAGCCCAACAUCUCGCCAAACAAUUGUUUUAUUUUUUCCCAUUCUUUUUGAGGAGAGCAACUUUAUUUUCCUGUUUUGGCUGAACAGUCCACAUAGAGUAUGUGUUCGUUUUUGCAUUCAUGCAUGUUCAACACAGUGUAUGAACACAACAGAUCAGUCUAGCUUCUCUGUAAAAAGAGCUACAUGCAGCAAUGACGAUAAUAAAGCCAGUCACAAUUAAAAGAGACUUCAUCUCUCAAAGAGUUCAUUUAAAAGACUGAACAUCACCGUCAGAAUAAUUAUCUCUUUAAAAGCAUGCCAUUGUGUUAUAAAUAAAAAUAGCUCAUAGCCCUGCUGUCAGAGAGUUGGCAGAUAAUUUUCUUGAAGAGCUCCAGCGUGACAGUCCCAUGGGGGCUGAAAUCUAAUAUUAACAGCAAAUCAUUAUGUGAGAACUGCUCUUCCGUGACCUGAUGCUGUACCUGUAUGACUAACUCAAUCUUGGUAAUAGAGAUAUGUUCGCUACUGUACUGGGAUGGAGUGCUGCUGUGACAGUUAAGGGUUAUAGAGAGUGCAUU